rnacentral:rRNA from 1 species
AACGGCUUUUGGNUGGGACGAUGAUGACGGUACCACCCGAAUAAGCCCCGGCUAACUCCGUGCCAGCAGCCGCGGUAAAACGGAGGGGGCAAGCGUUGUCCGGACUCANUGGGCGUAAAGGGUGCGCAGGCGGUGCCGUGCGUCGGCGCUGAAAGCGCCCGGCUUAACCGGGCGAGGUGCGGCGAUACNACGGCACUUGAGGCAGGUAGAGGUUGGCGGAAUUCCGGGUGUAGUGGUGAAAUGCGUAUAGAUCCGGAGGAACGUCGGUGGCGUAAGCGGCCAACUGGGCCUGUCCUGACGCUGAGGCACGAAAGCGUGGGGAGCGAACCGGAUUAGAUACCCGGGUAGUCCACGCCGUAAACGCUGUCGGCUCGGUGUGUGGUCUCAUUACNGGACUGCGUGCCCCAGCUCACGCGGUAAGCCGACCGCCUGGGGACUACGGCCGCAAGGCUAAAACUCAAAGGAAUUGACGGGGGCCCGCACAAGCAGCGGAGCGUGUGGUUUAAUUCGACGCAACGCGAAGAACCUUACCCAGAUUUGACAUGCGACUGCAAGCGCACGGAAACGUGUGACCUGCGAGGGUGUCGCACAGGUGCUGCAUGGCUGUCGUCAGCUCGUGUCGUUAGAUGUUGGGUUAAGUCCCGCANCGAGCGCAACCCCCNCSGUCAGUUAUACGUGUCUGGCGGGACNGCCGGCUGUUUGGUCGGAGAAAGGCGGGGAUGACGUCAAGUCCGCAUGGCCCGUACGUCUGGGGCGACACACACGCUACAAUGGCCGGCACAGCACGCCGCAAACCCGCAAGGGGGAGCUAAUCGCCAACGCCGGUCCCAGUGCASAUCGGGGGCUGCAACU